CACGUAGGCACCAAGCGUUGUCCGGAUUUAUUGGGCGUAAAGAGCUCGUAGGCGGUUCAGUAAGUCAGGUGUGAAAUCUUUGGGCUUAACCCAAAGCGUGCACUUGAUACUGCUGUGACUUGAGUUCGGUAGGGGAGUGGGGAAUUCCUAGUGUAGCGGUGAAAUGCGCAGAUAUUAGGAGGAACACCAGCGGCGAAGGCGGCGCUCUGGGCCGGGUACUGACACUGAGGAGCGAAAGCGUGGGUAGCAAACAGG
rnacentral:rRNA from 1 species